GACGAACGCUGGCGGCGUGCCUAAUACAUGCAAGUAGAACGCUGAAGGAGGAGCUUGCUUCUCUGGAUGAGUUGCGAACGGGUGAGUAACGCGUAGGUAACCUGCCUGGUAGCGGGGGAUAACUAUUGGAAACGAUAGCUAAUACCGCAUAAGAGUAGAUGUUGCAUGACAUUUGCUUAAAAGGUGCAAUUGCAUCACUACCAGGUGGACCUGCGUUGUAUUAGCUAGUUGGUGGGGUAACGGCUCACCAAGGCGACGAUACAUAGCCGACCUGAGAGGGGGAUCGGCCACACUGGGACUGAGACACGGCCCAGACUCCUACGGGAGGCAGCAGUAGGGAAUCUUCGGCAAUGGACGGAAGUCUGACCGAGCAACGCCGCGUGAGUGAAGAAGGUUUUCGGAUCGUAAAGCUCUGUUGUAAGAGAAGAACGAGUGUGAGAGUGGAAAGUUCACACUGUGACGGUAUCUUACCAGAAAGGGACGGCUAACUACGUG
rnacentral:rRNA from 1 species